ACACAACGUUUCCAUAUUAACUACUGUUCCACCAGACAGUAAGAAACUCACUCUGAUGGGGGAAAACUGCAGCUCCAGGAUACACUACACUUUACAUAUUGACUUGACUGAGUGUUUUUCCCUAGAUGUUUUCUAAUGUAGUUAGAUGAGGGGGGAGCAGACAGAAAAUUGUGCUCACUUUCUGUACUGUGGUGAAUAAUUUUGUGGUCAAGCUCUUAGUAUCUGCUGUGGUGUUUACAGAGGACAGGUGACAUCAUCUACAGUAGUGGCCAAGAUACCAGGGUUCACAGUGUCACAGCUCUUCUCCUCUUCUCUGAUGUCUGUGAUGUCAGUGGCUCACCAAAGAUGAUCCCUCACAAUCUCCUCUCUGCCAAAGUGGUUUUUUCAACCACAUAUGGAUUUCUGCCAGAAUGGAAUGGAAACAGCUGGACACCCAAUGAGAGAUCCAUGCUGCUUUCUUUAAAGGAAACAUUAGGAAUGAUUUAGAAUGAUCAUCAGC